UCUAGGUCUCUGUACCUGCUGGUCAUUCUGACUUUUGUCCCCGUGUUCCAGGUCUUUGAUGUCCUAUGCGAAAUGCCACCAAAGAAAACAGGCUACGAGUUCAGUGAAAGCUGAAAUAUACCUGGCUCCUAUUCUUGUCUCCUGUUGUCUAACGAGACAGUUAAGCUACUGAGGAUAACUGCAUAUGCAUGAGGCCAUUUGUUACUGUGACAGUGAAUUUUAUGGAUCAUUGGCGCCAAGGAGGUGUAGUGGCAGUAUCACUAUGUGAGGAAGUCUCGGCCCAUGAAGGCUAAAUUGCUCAUAAGGCAGUCCUGGGCAGUCUAUGCAACCCAAAAGGAGGAAGACAGCGGAAGAAUACCUUGGAGGAGCACAUCUCGCCUGCGGGUCUUGAGUUAGACAGCCUUGGUUUACCUUGUAGAGUAUGUAAUCCUAUUUAUAUGUAUGUUAUUCUAAUUUGACAGGUUACUUCUCAGGCAAAUUUAAGUCAAAAUGUUGAAGUGCAUAUAUUAAAAAGCAAAUUUAAAAGCAUGUAUGUGAAUGUUAUGCCUUGAACUAGAUCAUUUCACUUACUAGCACAUACUGUAUUCAUAUUGCCUAUUUUUCUAAUUCUUACUCAACUGUUCUCUCCUAGCUACACUAUUCAUAUUUUGAAAUUACAUAAAGGUUCCACUUUCCAUGCAACAAUAGUAAAAAUUUCCAGUCUGCUGUUUAAGUGUGUUAUAUAAUAUCAUAUAAUAUUUACCAUCACAAACAUUUUCUUUAGAGAAGACAAAUUAGGAUAUGGAAUGUAUUUUUGCAGUGUUAUGAAGGUUUAUGCGUCUUUACAGGUAUAAGAAAAAGCUUAACCACUGUUACCACUUUUACCACUGUUUAAUAUAAAUUGUUUUUGUGCGAACCGCUGUAAUAGCGACAAGGUUUCAAGCCACAUUCAAGCCAACUUUUCUCUUGGUUAGUUUUACGGUUUGGUGCAAAAAUUUGUAUAUCUGAUUAUAUUAUUUAUAUAUUUAGUAGGUCUAAUAUCAUCCCUCCUCACUUUUUGGGACUCUAACCCCAUUUAUUUUGUUUUGGAUCUGAAUUUACUAAAUAAACUUAAUACAGGUAUA